UACGUAGGUGACAAGCGUUGUCCGGAUUUACUGGGCGUAAAGCGUGCGCAGGCGGCUUUGCAAGACAGAUGUGAAAUCCCCGGGCUUAACCUGGGAACUGCAUUUGUGACUGCAUGGCUGGAGUGCGGCAGAGGGGGAUGGAAUUUCGCGUGUAGCAGUGAAAUGCGUAGAUAUGCGGAGGAACACCGAUGGCGAAGGCAAUCCCCUGGGCCUGCACUGACGCUCAUGCACGAAAGCGUGGGGAGCAAACAGG
rnacentral:rRNA from 1 species